rnacentral:tRNA from 1 species
GGUUCCAUAGUGUAGCGGUUAGCACAUCUACUUCACACGCAGAAGGCCCUGGGUUCGCGCCCCAGUGGAGCCA